CCAUCAAACAGAAUCACGUGUUGGCAAGCACACCGGACAGGUGUGUCUGUGCAAACUAGAUUUGUGGGGCAAAGAUGCAUCGUGCUGUUUGAGCCCUGCACUAUUUAUUCAUAAUAGCAGCAUUAAUAACAGAGCGGUCUGCUUUCUGCUCUAUAUGUCAAUGCCUGGAUUAUCAUAACACGUCCGACAGUGUUUAGUGUGACUGUGACAGGACGAUAACACCGGGACGGGGUCUGAUUCCUAAACGGCCGUCAUGUGAGGCCGCUCUGCCACAGUGAAGAUCACACUGGACACGGUUUAUUCACACUCUCUGUGAUUGUUACACAAGGUCAUGACUCCGCAGUGUGCUGAAUUCAUUUAGAUGAGUGUAGACUGACGGAUUG